rnacentral:rRNA from 1 species
UACGGGGGGGGCAAGCGUUGUUCGGAAUUACUGGGCGUAAAGGGCGCGUAGGCGGCCUGCUAAGUCGGAUGUGAAAUCCCUCGGCUCAACCGAGGAACUGCAUCCGAUACUGGCGGGCUUGAAUCCGGGAGAGGGAUGUGGAAUUCCAGGUGUAGCGGUGAAAUGCGUAGAUAUCGGAAGGAACAUCAGUGGCGAAAGCGGCUUCCUGGACCAGCACCGACGUCAGGCACGAAAGCGUGGGGAGCAAACAGG